GACGAGCGCUGGCGGCGUGCUUAACACAUGCAAGUCGAACGGUAAGGCUCCAGCUUGCUGGGGUACACGAGUGGCGAACGGGUGAGUAACACGUGGGUGACCUGCCCUGCACUUCGGGAUAAGCCUGGGAAACUGGGUCUAAUACCGGAUAGGACUGCACCGUGAGGGUGUGGUGGAAAGUUUUUUCGGUGUGGGAUGGGCCCGCGGCCUAUCAGCUUGUUGGUGGGGUAAUGGCCUACCAAGGCGGCGACGGGUAGCCGGCCUGAGAGGGUGGACGGCCACAUUGGGACUGAGACACGGCCCAGACUCCUACGGGAGGCAGCAGUGGGGAAUAUUGCACAAUGGGCGGAAGCCUGAUGCAGCGACGCCGCGUGGGGGAUGACGGCCUUCGGGUUGUAAAUUCCUUUCACCAUCGACGAAGGGUUUCUGACGGUAGAUGGAGAAGAAGCACCGGCUAACUACGUG
rnacentral:rRNA from 1 species